UGCGAAGGGGGCUAGCGUUGCUCGGAAUCACUGGGCGUAAAGGGUGCGUAGGCGGGUCUUUAAGUCAGGGGUGAAAUCCUGGAGCUCAACUCCAGAACUGCCUUUGAUACUGGCAAUCUCGAGUCCGAGAGAGGUGAGUGGAACUGCGAGUGUAGAGGUGAAAUUCGUAGAUAUUCGCAAGAACACCAGUGGCGAAGGCGGCUCCCUGGCCCGGUACUUACGCUGAGGUGCGAAAGCGUGGGGAGCAAACAGG
rnacentral:rRNA from 1 species